AUUGAACGCUGGCGGCAUGCCUUACACAUGCAAGUCGAACGGCAGCACGGGGGCAACCCUGGUGGCGAGUGGCGAACGGGUGAGUAAUGCAUCGGAACGUGUCCUCUUGUGGGGGAUAACCAGUCGAAAGAUUGGCUAAUACCGCAUGAGAUCGCAAGAUGAAAGCGGGGGACCGCAAGGCCUCGCGCGAGAGGAGCGGCCGUUGCCGGAUUAGCUAGUUGGUGGGGUAAAGGCCCACCAAGGCGACGAUCCGUAGCUGGUCUGAGAGGAGGAUCAGCCACACUGGAACUGAGACACGGUCCAGACUCCUACGGGAGGCAGCAGUGGGGAAUAUUGGACAAUGGGCGGAAGCCUGAUCCAGCCAUACCGCGUGGGUGAAGAAGGCCUUCGGGUUGUAAAGCCCUUUUGUUGGGAAAGAAAUCCUGUCGGUUAAUACCCGGUAGGGAUGACGGUACCCAAAGAAUAAGCACCGGCUAACUUCGUGCCAGCCGCCGCCGUAAUAC
rnacentral:rRNA from 1 species